CCUACGGGUGGCAGCAGUGGGGAAUAUUGCACAAUGGGGGAAACCCUGAUGCAGCGACGCCGCGUGAGUGAAGAAGUAUUUCGGUAUGUAAAGCUCUAUCAGCAGGGAAGAAAAAAGACGGUACCUUACUAAGAAGCCCCUGCUAACUACGUGCCAGCAGCCGCGGUAAUACGUAGGGGGCAAGCGUUAUCCGGAUUUACUGGGUGUAAAGGGAGCGUAGACGGCAGGGCAAGUCUGAAGUGAAAGGGAGGGGCUUAACCCCUGAACUGCUUUGGAAACUGCCGUGCUAGAGUGCUGGAGAGGUAAGUGGAAUUCCUAGUGUAGCGGUGAAAUGCGUAGAUAUUAGGAGAAACACCAGUGGCGAAGGCGGCUUACUGGACAGUAACUGACGUUGAGGCUCGAAAGCGUGGGGAGCAAACAGGAUUAGAUACCCGUGUAGUC
rnacentral:rRNA from 1 species